UGCACCUAGUAUGUGAUUUCGGUUAGGUAGAAUUACCCCAUUAGAUGGAGCCGCCCCUAUGGAAAGGCCACCAUUAGGAGGAGAGGGCUAUCAAUGAGAGGUAAACUUCCUAAUUGAAAAUGUUUUACACUUUGUUUUGAGUCGAGAGAAAAGAGCUAUCCGUUAGAUGGAGCCGCCCCUAUGGAAAGGCCACCAUUAGGAGGAGAGGGCUAUCAACGAGAUGGAGCUAGUUCUCAAUUCACCUAUUUUGAUUAUUUUUACUAAAUUGAGUUGACUAUAAUUUAAAAACAUUUUGUUUUGAGUCGAGAGAAAAGAGCUAUCCGUUAGAUGAAGCUACCACUAAGAGAAAGGCCACUCUUAGUAGGAAAGAGCUAUCAACGAGAUGGAGCUAGUUCUCGAUUCACCUAUUUUGAUUAUUUUCACUAAUUGGAGUUUUCUAUAUUUUCUUUAAAGGCUUUUAUUAUGAUUUUCGGCAAUUUAUUUUUUAAAGGCUUGUAAUUUUAUUUUCAUGUAUUUACGAUGUUGGAUUUUCGUUGAAGUAUUCCUAUUUGAUUGGAAAUAUUUACAAAGUGUGGAUUUUCAUGCGUAUAAACGGUUGUGGAUUAUUAGAAUUUUAUACGGCUAUUAGAUUUGUAAAUUGACAUUAAAUUUUGAGAAAAGAAAAUAAUCGUGCUCUUGUGUGUUUCCCUUCUAGUUGGUAGUGGUUGUUGUCUGCUCACUAAGUCUUUGUGACUUACCCCAUCAUCUUAUAUUUUUUUU
rnacentral:lncRNA from 1 species